GUAGAUAUAGUUUAAAUCAAACGUCAGAUUGUGAUUCUGAAAAUAAGGGUUAAACCCCCCUUAUCCACC
rnacentral:tRNA from 3 species